rnacentral:lncRNA from 1 species
GGCGGUUGCGGUGGUUGCCAUGGUGGCUGGCUUUGUUUGGAUUUAGGAACAAGGUAUGUCGGAGGGACAAAGUGGGAAAUGAAUUAUAUAUGUGUUUUAGUGAUCAAGAAGGGAGUGGUCUAUCUUGCUUCUUAUCUGCAUGGUGUAAUUGGAUGGUUGGUUUAUUGCUGCGUCAUAUUUAUUUAUUUUGUGGACCUUAUGAAAAAGGAAAAAAUAUUUUCUUUGUUUUACAUUUUCACUUUUUUCUUAUAUUUGUUAUCCAAGCUCCAACCAUUGUUUGGCUUAUAAUAUUUUACAAAUUUUAGAACUUUGAAACAAAAUAUUAUUUACUUGAAUCACACACUUAUGUGAUAAAAAAAUAAAAACUUCAUAUAUGUCGAACAAAGUUUUCUAUAGGCAAAACAAUGUUUUUUUUUUUUUAAGUGCAUCUAUAGGUAAAACAAAGUAUUUUUUUUCUUCUUAAGUUCGUCCAAUUAAUAUUUAAUGUUGUUUUGUCAAAUGAAGAGAAUAUUUAAUUCAGAAUUUCGUCUAGAGGUAAAUAAAUUUGGAUUAAAGAGAGUGAAAUUUAGAAAUAUAAAAACAAUAAAUAAAACAAAACAAAAACCAAUUAAAGAUAGUGAAAUUUAGAAACACUCUUAAAACGGGUGUCGUAACUACUUCAUGUUUGUGCUUUGUUGAAUCUUAGGUAUAUUUUGCUAGCGGAGCUCUCUCCAAUCUAUCAUGGUUUAUCUUUGGCUCGUGAUCUGCAUGUUGCGAAAUUAGUGUGCUAUACAAACUCUCUUCUCAGCAUCGGUCUCAUUAUCGGUUCAACCAUGAAUUACUGCAUUUAUGCUGCUCUCAUCCAAGACAUAAAGGACAUGAUAUGCC